GACGAACGCUGGCGGCGUGCUUAACACAUGCAAGUCGAGCGGUAAGGCCCUUUCGGGGUACGACGAGCGGCGAACGGGUGAGUAACACGUGGGUGACCUGCCCUCAGCUCUGGGAUAAGCCUGGGAAACUGGGUCUAAUACUGGAUAUGACUCCACGGUGCAUGUCGUGGGGUGGAAAGCCUUGUGCGGCUGAGGAUGGGCCCGCGGCCUAUCAGCUUGUUGGUGGGGUGAGGCCUACCAAGGCGACGACGGGUAGCCGGCCUGAGAGGGCGACCGGCCACACUGGGACUGAGACACGGCCCAGACUCCUACGGGAGGCAGCAGUGGGGAAUCUUGCGCAAUGGGCGAAAGCCUGACGCAGCGACGCCGCGUGAGGGAUGACGGCCUCGG
rnacentral:rRNA from 1 species